rnacentral:rRNA from 1 species
GGAAUCUUCCGCAAUGGGCGAAAGCCUGACGGAGCAACGCCGCGUGAGUGAAGCAGGGUUUCGGCUCGUAAAGCUCUGUUGACGGGGACGAAUGUGCGAAAUGCGAAUAGUUUUUCGCAAUGACGGUACCCGUCGAGGAAGCCACGGCUAACUACGUGCCAGCAGCCGCGGUAAUACGUAGGUGGCAAGCGUUAUCCGGAUUUAUUGGGCGUAAAGCGAGCGCAGGCGGUUUGAUAAGUCUGAUGUGAAAGCCUUUGGCUUAACCAAAGAAGUGCAUCGGAAACUGUCAGACUUGAGUGCAGAAGAGGACAGUGGAACUCCAUGUGUAGCGGUGGAAUGCGUAGAUAUAUGGAAGAACACCAGUGGCGAAGGCGGCUGUCUGGUCUGCAACUGACGCUGAGGCUCGAAAGCAUGGGUAGCGAACA